rnacentral:rRNA from 1 species
UACGAAGGGGGCUAGCGUUGUUCGGAUUUACUGGGCGUAAAGCGCACGUAGGCGGAUCGUUAAGUCGGGGGUGAAAUCCUGGAGCUCAACUCCAGAACUGCCUUCGAUACUGGCGAUCUUGAGUCCGGAAGAGGUGAGUGGAACUCCUAGUGUAGAGGUGGAAUUCGUAGAUAUUCGCAAGAACACCAGUGGCGAAGGCGG